GUGGAGAGUGGAGGAGGAUAAUAGAGGUGUAGAGUAGAGGAGGAUAAUAGAGGUGUAGAGUAGAGGAAGAUAAUAGAGGUGGAGAGUGGAGGAGGAUAAUAGAGGUGGAGAGUAGAGGAGGAUAAUAGUGGUGGAGAGUGGAGGAGGAUAAUGGAGGUGGAGAGUAGUGGAGGAGAGGAGAGAAGAAGGAGGAGAGUAGAGGAGGAUAAUAGAGGUGGAGAGUGGAGGAGGAUAAUAGAGGUGGAGAGUAGAGGUGGAGAAUGCAGGUGGAGAGUAGAGGAGGAGAGUAGAGGAGGAGAGUAGAGGAGGAGAGUAGAGAAGGAUAAUAUAGGUGGAGAGUAGAGGAGGUGAAUAGAGGAGAAUAAUAGAGGUGGGGAAUAGAGGAGGAUAAUAGAGGUGGAGAGUAGAGGAGGAUAAUAGAGGUGGGGAGUAGAGGAGGAUAAUAGAGGUGGAGAGUGGAGGAGGAUAAUAGAGGUGGAGAGUGGAGGAGGAUAAUAGAGAUGUAGAGUAGAGGAGAUGAAUAGAGGUGGAGAGUACAGGAGGAGAGGAGAGGAGGAGAGUAGAGUAGAGGAGGAGAGUAGAAGAGGAUAAUAGAGGUGUGGAGUGGAGGAGGAUAAUAGAGGUGGAGAGGAGAGGAGGAGGGGAGAGGAGGAGAGUAGAGGAGAUGAAUAGAG
ensembl:lncRNA